AAUCACUCGCUUGCUCGAUGUUACGCAGAUUUUUCAGAUCUCGCCAGAAUAAUGUAAAACUGAUACGUUUAGGUUGCUAUGGUCGCUGCCAGGGCUCGUCACAUGACGUCUUCUACAGACUAUAAUAAAUAAGAAUAAAUAGGAAGAGGCAACAAUAAAUGAUCUAUGCCAGCGCAAGUCAAUAUUUAUCUGGCCAGUCAACUGGUUUUUAAUUUAAAAAAUCCCUCGCAGUCUGAACUGCAACAGCACGGUCUGCGGUGAGUUAAACAACGUUCAACUGCAGGAUCAAUAGCAUUCAGCGGUGAGUUUAACAACCCUCAAAUGCGGUUAAAACAACAUUCAGAGGGAAGCUUUAUUUAAACCGCGUUCAACUGCAGAUAAAACAACAUUCAGAGGUGACUUUAACAACGCUCCACGGCGCGUGGGAGUAGCAUUUUAAGCGUUUUCUGAUCAUGUAGGUAAGUGCUUUGAUUAACUUUAGACGUGAUGCAUGCUGGGUGGCAAAUAUUUUUUAUCAAAGGCUCGUUGAUGGUAAUAAAUAUACAUAUAAAUAUACAUUUUACUAUAAUACGAUUGUUUUCGAUUAAUUAAUGGGUUGUUUAAUUAUUAAUUUGUUUAUUUUAAAUCCUGUAAUUUAACAACUCUGACGUCAUCGAAUGCGACGAUGCCAAGGUCCAUUGCGAUUUCCACUCGGUCCUUCAACUCUUUAUACCCCCAUCACACACACACACACACACACACACACACACACACACACACACACACACACACACACACACACACACACACACACACACACACACACACACUCACACACACACUCACACACACACACACACACACACACACACACACACACACACACACACACACACACACACACACACACACACACACACACACACACACACACACACACUUUCUUGGUAAUCUGUAAGAAGAGGAGGCAGCAGCACCAGAGAAGACACCUGAGCCGAGGGUGCAUUGGAGACAAAGAGACACUGAUGUAAAUAUUGUCUAUGCAAGGCCAAGGUCAUGCAGGAAUCAACCAAAGAAAGGAUUCCCCUUUCAAAACAGGAAAAAUGGGACCUUUAAACAGAGAGCUUGCACCACCAUUUCAAACUGCUGAUCACAUUCAGAACACUGAUCCUCCCAAUGCUCCUGACACUCAUUGUGAGGUGGCCUUUGCUCCAGAGACUGUUGAGUGCAUUCACUGAACGAUUUCUCAGGUGACGAGGCAUCACCUCCUGGAACCCCAAGAGAUCUUCUUCUGGCUUCCUCAAACUGGAGAACACGUCAAAGUCUCUUCAGAGAGGUGGAGGGCAUGUGGUAGCACACAUCUGCCUAAGGAAUGUGCAGUGGGAGACUUAAACAGAAGUGGGUACUGGCCUGCAACCCUUCAACUCACCACAAUUUAUGCCAUAGAUAUCUUGUUUUCAUUUCAAGAAAUGAAGAUGGCGGCACCAGGACUGUCCUGUCAAGCAUUUUUUAAGAAUGCUGGAUCAGCGAACUGUCUGCUUUGGUCGUACUGGCAAGAUCUCAGCAGACAGUUUUCAGAAAAGUUUUUUGAGUGGGAGGCUGUGCGAUUCAAGGUGGACAAUAUAUGCAAGGAAGAGCCUUUCACCUGCCCUGCAUGCACCCCAGAGAUUAUCAUUUCAAGGAUACUGCUAGAUCUGAGGAACCGGCCAUCUUUGAAGGUGUCUUUAUAGCCAAGGAUAAAGAUGUUACCAGAUUUCUGGACUACAUUCACAACACAACCACAACGAAAAGCUUGCCAGAAAACAGGAUGUAACCUGUGAAAUGGAGUGAGGCAAAUGCAGGAUGUUGCUGUAUUAACACUAGGAGAGGAGGUGGGACAGUGCAGUACCUUCCUCUCUAGGAUUGCAGUGACUACAAAACAAUUGUGAAAAGCAGGACGCGCAGACAAUCUGCCUCUCAUGGCCAUGCGCUGGAAUCAGCAAAAGUUUAACAAUUUAGCCAUCUUAAUUACUCGUCGAUAUCAGAAGACCAAAAAGCUCUGGAAAGCCAGUUAGAAAACCUAGAGUCCAUGAAAGCCCAAUUGGCAGUGACAGAAAGCUAAUUGGAAGGCUAGACUCUGUACAUCUAAGUCAGUUUGGAGACUUCAGGAGGAGCAGAAGAUGCUUGUUGCAGAGAUGGACCAUCAUUGGAAAUCUCUAAGCUUGUGCUGAUGCCAUCAGAGAGCUGUCCUGCUUGUUUUCUAAUGAGACAAUGAAAAAUUCACCAUGUGGCCUAAGUGAAGAGGGUCUAAAAGGUCUGCUGAGCACCAUUCUCAGAGAGCAACAUAAAAUCAGAAAAAUUUGCAAGCAAGAGACUGUUACCUACAAGUUUUGUCUGGAGCAGAGAACAUCAACUUCUUGUACAGUGCUUCACCUGAUGAGUACGACAGUGACUUUGACAUUUCUGAUGAUGGUCUGUAAUCCACAAGACUGUCACCUUCCAUCAUUCUGGACAAAGACUUCUAACUGUCAAUAUAAAGCAUUUAAUAAAAUCUACUUUUCAUAACCUUA